UGUGAUUGCAUCAAAAAGAGAAGAUAGCUCUGAAGUGUGCACAGGGAGGGGAGCAACAUUGUACCUCCUCCAUCCUGUUUCCUGCAGAACAGCUGUGUGUCAACGGGAAGGGGGUGACGGAUGGGGGUUUUAAAAAGGAAAAGAAGAUGAACACAUGAUCUCACUUUAAACAUAGAUGUGUGCAGUCGGAUGGACAGCUAUCAAGUUUUCUCUCUAAGUUUACUGCCUGAGCGGCUCUGAGUGUCAAGUGUCACUGUCAAUCUCGCUUUUGUCCGUGUGGCUGACAGUGACAUCAACACCCUCGCUGGUGUCAGCUCGCUUGUAUCUGUGCUUGUGGAAAGAUGACUGAGCUCAGGAUGUUGAAAAAUGCUUUAUUGGAUGGACUUAUUGUCGGUCCGUACAGUAAGUCUUUUCGCAAGAGACGAUGCUUCAGUGAUACCUCAGACCUGUUUGCCAUGAUCGAGAGGAUGCAGGGUUGCAGAAUGGAUGAGCAAAGAUGCCCGUUCCCUCCUCCCCUCAAGACAGAAGAGGACUACAUCCCUUAUCCCAGCGUUCAUGAGGUUUUGGGGCGCCGGAGUCCUUUUCCCCUUAUCCUGCUGCCUCAGUUUGGAGGUUACUGGAUUGAAGGAACCAAUCACGAGCCUAAAGACCCAAUAGAGGCCGAUCAACCUACCUGUCCUGCCUCCCACAUCAAGCUAGAGACAAACAGUACUGCUAAGCUCUACAGAAAAAAUUUCAUGGGCAAGGAACACUUUAAUUACUACACCAUGGAUGCUGCCCUGGGUCACUUGGUCUUUUCAGUGAAGUAUGAUGUCAUUGGUGAUCAAGAGCAUCUGCGCUUAAUGCUACGCACAAAGCUAAAAACAUAUCAUGACGUGAUUCCCAUUUCCUGCCUUACCGAAUUCCCCAAUGUGGUCCAGAUGGCCAAGCUUGUUUGUGAAGAAGUUAAUGUAGAUCGCUUUUACCCUGUCCUCUACCCAAAGGCAUCAAGGCUCAUUGUCACCUUUGAUGAACAUGUAAUCAGCAACAACUUUAAGUUUGGAGUCAUUUAUCAAAAGUUUGGGCAGACAUCAGAGGAGGAGCUCUUUGGAAACAUGGAGGAAAGUCCCGCCUUUGUUGAGUUCUUGGAGUUUCUCGGAAAGAAAAUUGAGCUUCAUGAUUUUAAAGGUUUUCGGGGUGGCUUGGAUGUCGCUCAUGGUCAGACGGGGACAGAAUCUGUCUACACAAAUUUUCACAAUAAGGAGAUUAUGUUUCAUGUGUCCACCAAACUGCCUUACACAGAAGGAGACUCCCAGCAGCUGCAGAGAAAGAGACACAUAGGCAACGACAUUGUGGCCAUCGUGUUCCAGGAGGAAAACACUCCUUUUGUACCUGACAUGAUCCAGUCCAAUUUCCUGCAUGCGUAUGUUGUAGUGCAGGUGGAGAAUGCCUGUUCGGACAACGUCACCUAUAAGGUUUCUGUGACUGCAAGGGAUGAUGUACCUUUCUUUGGUCCUGCUCUACCUGACCCUGCCAUUUUCAAAAAGGGUCCAGAGUUCCGUGAGUUUCUCUUCACCAAGCUCAUUAAUGCAGAAUAUGCCUGCUACAAGGCUGAGAAGUUUGCCAAACUGGAGGAGCGCACGCGCGCUGCACUGUUAGAAACUCUGUACGAGGAGCUGCACAUCAACAGUCAGUCCAUGAUGGGCCUGGGUGGAGACGAAGAUAAGCUGGAGAACGGGGGCGGAGGAGGAGGCGGCGGCUUCUUUGAAUCCUUCAAGCGGGUCAUCCGCAGCAGAAGCCAGUCUAUGGACGCCAUGGGCCUCAGUAACAAGAAGUCAAACACAGUCUCCACUAGUCACAGUGGCAGCUUUACCAACAAUCCCGCAGAGAGCCCCAAAACCACAGGGAUUUCAUUGCUUGUCCCAGGGAAAAGUCCCAGUAAAUAUGGACGCCGAGGCAGUGCCAUAGGGAUAGGAACAAUAGAAGAGUCAUUGAUCAUUCCUGGGAAAAGCCCUACCAGGAAAAAGUCUGGGCCCUUCAGCUCCCGCCGCAGCAGUGCCAUCGGCAUCGAGAACAUUCAGGAGGUCCAAGAGAGAAGUCGUGAGGUUUCACCCAGCGCUCAGAAGGCAGCGGACAGCAGCCACCUGUCACAGGAACACAGAUCUGACAACUCUCCCAAUCACAGCUCUCCAGAGUUUUUUGCCACAAAGAACAGUCUGGCAAUGUAUUGCAGGGCACCCUCCAUCCCCGAGGCUCAGGACCUUUCCCGCUCCUCGUCCAACGCCAGCAGCUUUGCCAGUGUUGUGGAGGAGCACGAGGCCGAGGAGGAGUACGACACUGGAAUGGAAAGUGUUUCGUGUGUCACACCAGUCAAAAAAGAUACCUUUGUGUACAGCUGUGGGGUGGAGGAGGGUACGUGCAGCCAAGGAAGUUUUGCAGCAGCUUCUCGUCUUCAGCAGCAGCAGGAUGGAGUGAAGACAUCAGAAUUAAAAGGGACCGACAGUCAGACCAAGAUGGAGGGCCGCCAGCAGGAGCAGAAGUUCUCAUCGGUGAGGCAAAUGAAUCACAGAUAAAAGGAGUACACAAACUGUUAGCCACUUUCCCCUGAUCCUGACUCUGAAGUCCAUCUUUGUAAAGCAUCUUCCUCGCCGGCAUCAUCUGCCAAAGAUCUAGCCAAGGAAGGCAUGGAACUCCACCACCACUUUGUUGUAUUUUGGGUAUUGGUUUGCUGCUUAUGAUGACCGACACCUCCAUCGUCAUGAGUUACCUAUUCCAUCCUGUAAGUGGAAACGCUGAGUGCUCAGUGCACUCCAAACUCAUGCAGAUCACCGUGGGUCUGCUGUCUUUGUGUAGAAAUCUGCUCUUUCUUCACAAAUCUGAUUAUCAACGGGUGAUCUCAAUCGCACUGUCCUCCCACUGGAAUCAGGACAUCAGGACUUUGACAGAAAUUGGAGUUUUGUCAAACCUCUAUGGACUACAUUUUUUGUUUUUGUACGUCAAAACAACAUCCCACUCACUGUGACGUUGUACAGUUUGAACCUUGGCGUAUCCGGUGUGGUUUUCAGUCGGGCCAUUUUCUGUGUUCUAUUGACAAUUAUUUUCUGGGUAUUUUGCAGUGGAUAUUUGUUGUGUUUUCUAACAAUGUUUGUCAUGCUUUCAGCAAAGCUUGUUGAAAGUGUAGAUAUGAAAUGUGUUCACCCUUUUUGUUUGUGGGUGAAGAGGAAGGCUUACCAAUAAAAACUGGUGGUGAAUCAAAAGUGGAAAACCAGCUAAAUGUAACCUAAAUCUUGCCGAUACGGUAGUACUGUUUAGAUAUGUCUUCAAAUGCUUGUUGUUAUACCCCACCUGUUGAUGUCUUUGUACAGGUGUGUAAGCAUAAAUACUGUGCAUGGUGUGAACCUGCUUGCCAAAAUCCCUCUCUGCACAUUGGUGAAAGGCUCGGCAUAACGGUGUCCCUGUGAUUAGUGUUUCACCGAAAACUAGCUUCCAUCUCCAGAUGCAGAGCACUUUUACAGAGAGACAAAUGUACUUUUGUUUUUAGCUAAGUAUAUGUAUGAGAAAGCACUAAAUUUCCAGCAUUAUUCCCAGAUGCUGACCUUUCAAAGAACCUAACAGGUUGCCAGAGAAAUGAAAUACACUGUGACUUGCUCUGCAGUUGCCUUCUUGAUCUUGUCACAAAAGCUGCUUUGAUUGAAAGUCAUUUUCAAAAGGCAGUGUGCUGCCAGAUGGCUCGAAUGUAAAACGAAGCAGAAAUAGAUAUAUCUUUCACUCAUCGAAAUAAAUCUUUUAUGUACAAAGAGACAACACAUUGAGCUGCUUUUUACUUGCAUUUUUUGUGUGGCUUUGUUUUUGGUUUUGGAAAAUCACAAAAAAAAUGUAAAUUUUAUUUAUUUGACUUGAAAUUAUUUGAAUUGAAACUACUGAUUUGUGAGUUUAUGGUACCAAAACUGUGGAACCUACAGUGUGUUCUGACAAUUCCAUCAGUAAUCUAUUUAUGGCAAGAUAAUACCUACAGUUGCACGCUAUUAUUCUUUUAACAUCUUUUUCAGCUAGUUUUUGUAAGGAAAAUGCUUUUCCAGUUGUAACAUCCAAAAGAUUGAAUGGAGAAAGUCUGCCCUCUUGUGGCUCUUUAUUGUUAAUGCACAAUACUGUGGAACCAGUCUUUAUUUUGCACUGUACAGCCAGCAACCGCAUUUAACACCGAGAACAAAUCUUCUUUAUGCUCAAUCCAAAUGAUUGUAUUUCUGUUUUUGUCAACUGUUUGUUUUGGCCCUUUGUUUUUGAGAUGUUUGUAAAUAUUGAUUUUCAUCUUUUUUGUAAAUAAUGUCAGUAAAGUAUUUAAUUAAAAAACGUAAACACCAA